rnacentral:pre_miRNA from 1 species
GGCUCGGUUCGGAGGACCGGUCUGGUACCGAACCGGUUGAGUCAAAGCAUGACUUCAACCAGUUUGGUACCAAAUCGGUCCUACUCAGCCGAGUC